CCCGCAGCUCGGGGUCUUUUCCAUCCACCGUCACGGAACUGACCCGAAGGCCGAGGGGGGGGCGGCCUCACUGAGGCUGCCGGCUCUGGAGGGGCCCCGGCGGCCGAAGCAGCGACAGUCGUGCGGACGGCGGGCCGGUUGUUUCAACAAGUAACUUAAAGACAAAAUGGAAAAACAAGGAAGUUUGUGCCUGAGAUCACGUUGAUGUGAAACCAGGGAUGGCCACCUUGUGCCAGAACAUCAUUUUUAUACCUCUGCGUUUCUUACUAUUCAAAGCCAAGUCACGUGAGUUAGAGAAAACUUGAGCUGUCUCUCCUUGGAAUCAUCAGGAGAAAAAUACAGUAUUUCAGGUUCAUUCUUGAAACCAACUUCUCACGGUUAAGGUGUAUUGACUAAAAGAUCUUCCUUCAAGAAAUUCCAAACCUCUGUAGGACACUUCAUUGUAAUUGGAGAAAAAAGAAGAAUGAAAGCAGGCCAGCAGCUGCAGAGGGCAAGGCAGCCCCCAGGACUAGGGAAGGAGGAGGAGGAAGGGCUGAGAGCUGCCAUUAGAGAAGACAACCUCCAGAGGGCGCUGAAGCACCGGCACAGCCCACCUGCACUCCCACUUUGGCACUCCAGGAUCAGAGUUGGGUUUGGAGAUGGGGUUGUUGUAACCCCAAGGAGGUGAGCAGAGAAGAGGAGUUGAUUACCGGUCUCCUCUGACUCUCUGGCCCAAAUUACCUGGCUUCACAGGAGGGACAGAGUUUUGCUUUCAGCAACUGAUGGGGCACUUCCAGGCUGGUGGGGUUGCCCAGUGGCCCAACAGCCUGACAGGCUGACUGCGGUGUGACUGCCCUUUGUUUCUCCAGAAUCUGUACAUCAGGAGGUGCAUGGCUGCCGGAGCCCAUUCACCGCCCUUCCCCGAGGGGGAUGGCAACUUCCGUGGCUGUACCCUAUGAUCACCAGGUACUUGAAAUGAAUGCAAGUUUUUUUUACUUUAAGGAAGAGCUCACGUAACCCCUUCUGCCUCAUAAUGUGUAGGAUUUACUAUAAUGGAAGGACAUUAUAAAGAACAGGUAGAAAACUCACCUGUUGGUCUCCAUGUAGGAGUUUAUUUUGCAUGAAUCCCUCCUACAUGAGUAGAUAGCAGAGGUUUAUUUUUGUUCCUGUGUGUGUAGUUGUGGCAGAGGAUGUAGGUAUGGUGAUUUGAAGCCCUGAAAGAAAUAUUCUCAGAAUUCUCAAGACUUCUCUUGAUUGGAAUCGAAAGAGACCUGGAAAAGGAGGAAAAGAAAAGGAGGAGGGAGAAUGAACGACUGUUUCUCAGUAAAUUCACCUUCCUGGUUGAUUGUUCUGUCUUCUCAUUUCUUUUAACUUCUAUGUAUGUCUAAUGGAAUAAUGUAGAAAGGCUGAUUUUUAUGCUUUAAAAGAUUUUACAUCACAAAGAAACUAGAAGUGGAAAACAACUUAUUCAAAUCAAUGUUAUAUAGAGACUUUGAUAUUAAAUUUGUAUACUAAA